CCUAGUAGAUGAGUGCAUUCUGGCUGAGUCCAAAGAAGAGACUUGGGAGGACAAACUCAGCCCCCUUCAGAGAAAGAUUGUGGGCUGCUCUCUGGCUGCAUUUGCGGGCAUUCUCUAUGGAUGUUGUUACACACCAAUCAUCUUUGUGAAAAACAGUGCGAUAAGAAACGACACACAUUUCGCAGGUGCCAGUCAAUAUGAUCUGGAUUACAUUUUCCCGUUCAUGACUGGUGCUUGUGCUACGACGGCUCUAGCAUUCUUUGUUUAUUGUGUAAUCAUGAAGAACAGACCUCAUCUUCCUUCAAAAUGUAUCCUGCCAGCUUUUCUUGCAGGAUCCUUGCAGUUUGGAAGCCAAAUUUCCUGGUUUUUGUCCUGUUAUUAUGUUGGAACUGCUAUAACAUACCCUAUUGGUACAGCUGGACCUGCUCUUGUGUCGUUGGCAUGGAGUGUAUUUUGCUUCCGAGAGAUAAAGGGAGUCAAGAACUUCAUUCUGCUUGCUGUUGUUUUGUUCACUGUUCUUACUGGUAUUAUACUCAUUUCAAUUUCAAAAAUAGGCUAAAUUAAGCUUCAUCCUGAAGCAAACUGUAAUAUUUGUAAUAAUGUAAUAAUGUUGAUUGUGUUGUUGUUUUAGCCUUUGUGUUGUUGUUUUAGCCAUGUUUAACACUGUAAUAAAAUGUAAGACCCUC